rnacentral:rRNA from 1 species
UACAGAGGGGGCAAGCGUUGUUCGGAAUUACUGGGCGUAAAGGGCGCGUAGGCGGCCUGUUAAGUCGAACGUGAAAUCCCCGGGCUCAACCCGGGAACUGCGUCCGAUACUGGAAGGCUUGAAUCCGGGAGAGGGAUGCGGAAUUCCAGGUGUAGCGGUGAAAUGCGUAGAUAUCUGGAGGAACACCGGUGGCGAAGGCGGCAUCCUGGACCGGCAUUGACGCUGAGGCGCGGAAGCCAGGGGAGCAAGCGGG